rnacentral:misc_RNA from 1 species
GAUGAAGAACGUAGCGAAAUGCGAUAAGUAAUGCGAAUUGCAGAAUUCAGUGAGUCAUCGAAUCUUUGAACGCACAUUGCGCCCUGUGGUAUUCCGCAGGGCAUGCCUGUUCGAGCGUCAUUUCAACCCUCAAGCUCUGCUGGGUGUUGGGCCCUGCCCGCUGCGGCCGGCCCUAAAGACAGUGGCGGUGCCGCCUGGCCCUGAGCGUAGUACAUCUCUCGCUCCAGUGCCCGGUGGUAGCCUGCCAGAACCCCAACUCUCGUGGUUGACCUCGGAUCAGGUAGGGAUACCCGCUGAACUUAAGCAUAUCAAUAAGCGGAGGA